rnacentral:lncRNA from 1 species
CGGCAGUUCAAGGCGUACCUCAGCCUUACAGUUAUAAUCUUCCAUAGCUCCAGCAAAAGUCCCAGGGGAGACCUGAUUAACCCACUUGGGUCACAGAGCCUUGUCAGAACCAGUCAUUGUGGCCAGGAGCAUGGAGUGCUCUGAUUGGUCAAUCUGGGUCACAUGCCCACCCUUGUUGAGGGUAAGGAAGGAGGUUUAGGAAUUAUCUUACCACAUGGAAUUGGUUACCUAUAAGAAUGAGGAGUUCUGAUGUCGAGAGAAAGAACAACAGAGGAUGUGAAGCCACUGAAAGCUUGACUCAGGGAAAAGAAAUGUGGGACCAUCACACACAUGAAAAUGGCUAUAAUCCUCACUGUAUUUUCUUGUUCUUCUUGAAAAAUAUAGGAUUUGAUUCCACAGUUCUUCUUGACUUUUUGAUUUCAUCAGAAACCUGUUUUCUUGAAUAUUUUGUUAGAUAUUUAAAAUUACUGCAAAAGGACUGGGAUAAUUUU